UAGAGAAGUGUAUCUGGUGAGAAUAAU
rnacentral:piRNA from 1 species